rnacentral:rRNA from 1 species
GUGCCAGCAGCCGCGGUAAUACGUAGGGUGCGAGCGUUGUCCGGAAUUAUUGGGCGUAAAGAGCUCGUAGGCGGUUUGUCGCGUCGGCCGUGAAAUCUCCACGCUUAACGUGGAGCGUGCGGUCGAUACGGGCAGACUUGAGUUCGGCAGGGGAGACUGGAAUUCCUGGUGUAGCGGUGAAAUGCGCAGAUAUCAGGAGGAACACCGGUGGCGAAGGCGGGUCUCUGGGCCGAUACUGACGCUGAGGAGCGAAAGCGUGGGGAGCGAACAGGAUUAGAUACCCUGGUAGUCC